rnacentral:rRNA from 1 species
AGGUAGUUGGUGGGGUAAGAGCCCACCAAGCCAAUGACGCCUAGCUGGUCUGAGAGGAUGAUCAGCCACACUGGAACUGAGACACGGUCCAGACUCCUACGGGAGGCAGCAGUGGGGAAUAUUGCACAAUGGAGGAAACUCUGAUGCAGCAACGCCGCGUGGAGGAUGACGCAUUUCGGUGUGUAAACUCCUUUUAUAUGGGAAGAUAAUGACGGUACCAUAUGAAUAAGCACCGGCUAACUCCGUGCCAGCAGCCGCGGUAAUACGGAGGGUGCAAGCGUUACUCGGAAUCACUGGGCGUAAAGCGCGCGCAGGCGGCCUUUUAAGUUGGAUGUGAAAGCCUACGGCUCAACCGUAGAACUGCAUCCAAAACUAUCAGGCUAGAGUGUGGGAGAGGAAGAUGGAAUUAGUUGUGUAGGGGUAAAAUCCGUAGAGAUAACUAGGAAUACCAAAAGCGAAGGCAAUCUUCUGGAACAUUACUGACGCUGAGGCGCGAAAGCGUGGGGAGCAAACAGGAUUAGAUACCCUGGUAGUCCACGCCCUAAACGAUGAAUGUUAGUCGUCGGGUAGCUAGUCUAUUCGGUGAUGCAGCCAACGCAUUAAACAUUCCGCCUGGGGAGUACGGUCGCAAGAUUAAAACUCAAAGGAAUAGACGGGGACCCGCACAAGUGGUGGAGCAUGUGGUUUAAUUCGAAAAUACGCGAAGAACCUUACCUAGCCUUGACAUAUAUUAGAACACCCUAGAGAUAGAGUGGUGCCUUCGGGAGCUUUUAUACAGGUGCUGCACGGCUGUCGUCAGCUCGUGUCGUGAGAUGUUGGGUUAAGUCCCGCAACGAGCGCAACCCUCGUCACUAGUUACUAACGGUUCGGCCGAGGACUCUAGUGAGACUGCCUUCGUAAGGAGGAGGAAGGUGAGGACGACGUCAAGUCAUCAUGGCCCUUACGGCUAGGGCAACACACGUGCUACAAUGGCCAGGACAAUGAGACGCGAUACCGCGAGGUGGAGCAAAUCUAUAAACCUGGUCUCAGUUCGGAUUGUAGUCUGCAACUCGACUACAUGAAGCUGGAAUCACUAGUAAUCGUAGAUCAGCUAUGCUACGGUGAAUACGUUCCCGGGUCUUGUACUCACCGCCCGUCACACCAUGGGAGUUGAUUUCACCCGAAGCGGGGAAGCUAAACUGGCUACCCUCCACGGUGGAAUCAG